rnacentral:rRNA from 1 species
UUUUAUGGAGAGUUUGAUCCUGGCUCAGAGUGAACGCUGGCGGCGUGCCUAAUACAUGCAAGUCGAACGAUGAAGCUUCUAGCUUGCUAGAAUGCUGAUUAGUGGCGCACGGGUGAGUAACGCAUAGGUCAUGUGCCUCUUAGUUUGGGAUAGCCAUUGGAAACGAUGAUUAAUACCAGAUACUCCCUACGGGGGAAAGAUUUAUCGCUAAGAGAUCAGCCUAUGUCCUAUCAGCUUGUUGGUAAGGUAAUGGCUUACCAAGGCUAUGACGGGUAUCCGGCCUGAGAGGGUGAACGGACACACUGGAACUGAGACACGGUCCAGACUCCUACGGGAGGCAGCAGUAGGGAAUAUUGCUCAAUGGGGGAAACCCUGAAGCAGCAACGCCGCGUGGAGGAUGAAGGUUUUAGGAUUGUAAACUCCUUUUGUUAGAGAAGAUAAUGACGGUAUCUAACGAAUAAGCACCGGCUAACUCCGUGCCAGCAGCCGCGGUAAUACGGAGGGUGCAAGCGUUACUCGGAAUCACUGGGCGUAAAGAGCGCGUAGGCGGGAUAGUCAGUCAGGUGUGAAAUCCUAUGGCUUAACCAUAGAACUGCAUUUGAAACUACUAUUCUAGAGUGUGGGAGAGGUAGGUGGAAUUCUUGGUGUAGGGGUAAAAUCCGUAGAGAUCAAGAGGAAUACUCAUUGCGAAGGCGACCUGCUGGAACAUUACUGACGCUGAUUGCGCGAAAGCGUGGGGAGCAAACAGGAUUAGAUACCCUGGUAGUCCACGCCCUAAACGAUGGAUGCUAGUUGUUGGAGGGCUUAGUCUCUCCAGUAAUGCAGCUAACGCAUUAAGCAUCCCGCCUGGGGAGUACGGUCGCAAGAUUAAAACUCAAAGGAAUAGACGGGGACCCGCACAAGCGGUGGAGCAUGUGGUUUAAUUCGAAGAUACACGAAGAACCUUACCUAGGCUUGACAUUGAGAGAAUCCGCUAGAAAUAGUGGAGUGUCUGGCUUGCCAGACCUUGAAAACAGGUGCUGCACGGCUGUCGUCAGCUCGUGUCGUGAGAUGUUGGGUUAAGUCCCGCAACGAGCGCAACCCCCUUUCUUAGUUGCUAACAGGUCAUGCUGAGAACUCUAAGGAUACUGCCUCCGUAAGGAGGAGGAAGGUGGGGACGACGUCAAGUCAUCAUGGCCCUUACGCCUAGGGCUACACACGUGCUACAAUGGGGUGCACAAAGAGAAGCAAUACUGCGAAGUGGAGCCAAUCUUCAAAACACCUCUCAGUUCGGAUUGUAGGCUGCAACUCGCCUGCAUGAAGCUGGAAUCGCUAGUAAUCGCAAAUCAGCCAUGUUGCGGUGAAUACGUUCCCGGGUCUUGUACUCACCGCCCGUCACACCAUGGGAGUUGUGUUUGCCUUAAGUCAGGAUGCUAAAUUAGCUACUGCCCACGGCACACACAGCGACUGGGGUGAAGUCGUAACAAGGUAACCGUAGGUGAACCUGCGGUUGGAUCACCUCCUUUCUA